rnacentral:rRNA from 1 species
CCCUUAGAUGUUCUGGGCCGCACGCGCGCUACACUGACGAAUGCAACGAGCUUAUAACCUUGGCCGAAAGGUCUGGGUAAUCUCCAAAUUUCGUCGUGAUGGGGAUAGAUUAUUGCAAUUAUUAAUCUUCAACGAGGAAUGCCUAGUAAGCGCAAGUCUUCAGCUUGCGUUGAUUACGUCCCUGCCCUUUGUACACACCGCCCGUCGCUCCUACCGAUUGAAUGGUCCGGUGAAGCGUUCGGACCGUGGCCUUUGGACGGUUCGCCGUCUGUUGGCUGCGGGAAGUUCGUUAAACCUUAUCAUUUAGAGGAAGGAGAAGUCGUAACA